ACUGCUCAGUAACACGUGGACAACCUACCCUUGAGUUGGGGAUAAACCCGGGAAACUGGGUAUAAUACCCGAUAGUCCUCGGCUGCUGGAAUGCAUCGAGAACGAAAGCUCCGACGCUCAAGGAUGGGUCUGCGGCCUAUCAGGUAGUAGUGGGUGUAGCGUACCUACUAGCCUACGACGGGUACGGGUUGUGAGAGCAAGAGCCCGGAGAUGGAUUCUGAGACACGAAUCCAGGCCCUACGGGGUGCAGCAGGCGCGAAAACUUUACAAUGCUGGAAACAGCGAUAAGGGGACCUCGAGUGCCAGGUUACAAAUCUGGCUGUCGUAAUGCCUAAAAAGCAUUUCAUAGCAAGGGCCGGGCAAGACCGGUGCCAGCCGCCGCGGUAACACCGGCGGCUCGAGUGGUAACCGCUAUUAUUGGGUCUAAAGGGUCUGUAGCCGGCCGGAUAAGUCUUUUGGGAAAUCUGGCAGCUUAACUGUCAGGCUUUCAGAGGAUACUGUCUGGCUCGAGGCCGGGAGAGGUGAGAGGUACUUCAGGGGUAGGGGUGAAAUCUUGUAAUCCUUGAAGGACCACCAGUGGCGAAGGCGUCUCACCAGAACGGACCUGACGGCAAGGGACGAAAGCUAGGGGCACGAACCGGAUUAGAUACCCGGGUAGUCCUAGCCGUAAACGAUACUCGCUAGGUGUCGGCCACGGUGCGACCGUUGUCGGUGCCGUAGGGAAGCCGUGAAGCGAGCCACCUGGGAAGUACGGCCGCAAGGCUGAAACUUAAAGGAAUUGGCGGGGGAGCAC
rnacentral:rRNA from 1 species